UACGUAGGGGGCGAGCGUUGUCCGAAUUUACUGGGCGUAAAGAGCGCGUAGGCGGGUUCUUAAGUGAGAGGUGAAAGGUUCAGGGCUCAACCCGAACAGUGCCUUUCAUACUGGGAGCCUUGAGUGUGGGAGAGGCGAGUGGAAUUUCUGGUGUAGCGGUGAAAUGCAUAGAUAUGUCACAGAACACCAAUUGCGAAGGCAGCUUACUAUGGUGCGAUUGACGCUGAGGCACGAAAGCGUGGGGAUCAAACAGG
rnacentral:rRNA from 1 species